rnacentral:rRNA from 1 species
GAUCCUGGCUUAGGAUGAACGCUAGCUACAGGCCUAACACAUGCAAGUCGAGGGGCAUCAGUUUGGUUUGCUUGCAAACCAAAGCUGGCGACCGGCGCACGGGUGAGUAACACGUAUCCAACCUGCCUCAUACUCGGGGAUAGCCUUUCGAAAGAAAGAUUAAUAUCCGAUAGCAUAUAUUUCCCGCAUGGGUUUUAUAUUAAAGAAAUUCGGUAUGAGAUGGGGAUGCGUUCCAUUAGUUUGUUGGGGGGUAACGG